rnacentral:rRNA from 1 species
AUACGGAGGGUGCGAGCGUUGUUCGGAAUCACUGGGCGUAAAGGGCGCGCAGGCGGUUUGUCAAGUCAGAUGUGAAAGGCCACGGCUCAACCGUGGUGGUGCAUCUGAAACUGGCAGACUUGAGUACCGGAGGGGAAAGUGGAAUUCCCGGUGUAGAGGUGAAAUUCGUAGAUAUCGGGAGGAACACCGGAGGCGAAGGCGACUUUCUGGACGGAUACUGACGCUGAGGCGCGAAAGCGUGGGGAGCAAACAGGAUUAGAAACCCUAGUAGUCC